rnacentral:rRNA from 1 species
ACGGGGUGCAGCAGGCGCGAAAACUUUGCAAUACACGAAAGUGUGACAGGGCUAUCCCGAGUGCCAUCCGCUGAGGAAGGCUUUUACCCAGUCUAGAAAGCUGGGGGAAUAAGGAGAGGGCAAGUCUGGUGUCAGCCGCCGCGGUAAUACCAGCUCUCCGAGUGGUGUGGAUGUUUAUUGGGCCUAAAGCAUCCGUAGCUGGCUAAGUCAGUCCCUUGUUAAAUCCACCGAAUUAAUCGUUGGAUUGCGGGGGAUACUGCUUGGCUAGGGGACGAGAGAGGCAGACGGUAUUUCCGGGGUAGGGGUGAAAUCCUAUAAUCCCGGGAAGACCACCAGUGGCGAAGGCUGUCUGCUAGAACGCGCCCGACGGUGAGGGAUGAAAGCUGGGGGAGCGAACCGGAUUAGAUACCCGGGUAGUCCCAGCUGUAAACGAUGCAGGCUAAGUGUUUGGACGGCCACGUGCCGUUCUAGUGCCGCAGGGAAGCUGUUAAGCCUGCCGCCUGGGGAGUACGAUCGCAAGAUUGAAACUUAAAGGAAUUGGCGGGGGAGCAC